CAGGUGUUAAUUUCAAGAUCCUCCCCAAUAGACAUCCCACAUGCUGGUCCUUGCGUCAUUCUGCUUCCCUGGGAACGCAACCUGCCAAUCACUCCGUACAGCUCUUUCUUGGCAGUGGGAGCCCAAUAAGUCAGUGACCCAACUGAACCGACAUCAGAGGAAGGAUCAAGGCUGCUCAAAAGGAGGUCUAGUGUCACAGGGAACAUUGGAUGAUGGCCUCCAAGGAGCCCCCUUCCUCUGAAAGGGAAGGAAAGCAGCUGGCUGACCACGUGAUGAUGCUACGGGCACAGGGCAGCCUGGUACAUCAGAGGCCCUCAAUAGCUGUUUUGUUGGAAGAAUGGCUCAACUGUACUUCUACGUCAAUUUGGACCCAAAGCAGGAAGGGAUUGACAGACUGCCCACCACUCCCACAAGACUGAUAGACAGUAUUUUGAAAGCAUUAAGUAAAUUCUGAGUGUAACCUUGGUGGCAGAAUAGAAAUGGAUAUUAAUGAUUAGCAAUUAAAACCUGCUCAGUCUCUGAUUUUUUUUCCAACAUUAUAUCUAUUUUUCUAUCUGAAAAGAGUAUAUUUUCCAACUCCUUUUACAUUCCUCUGGUGGGAAAAAAAAAAAAGCAUAAACAC